UGGGGAAUAUUGGACAAUGGGCGCAAGCCUGAUCCAGCAAUGCCGCGUGGGUGAAGAAGGUCUUCGGAUUGUAAAGCCCUUUCGGCGGGGACGAUGAUGACGGUACCCGCAGAAGAAGCCCCGGCUAACUUCGUGCCAGCAGCCGCGGUAAUACGAAGGGGGCUAGCGUUGCUCGGAAUGACUGGGCGUAAAGGGCGCGUAGGCGGUUUGAUCAGUCGGACGUGAAAGUCCUGGGCUUAACCUGGGGUGGUCGUUCGAGACGGUUGGACUGGAGUGGGGAAGAGGGUCGUGGAAUUCCCAGUGUAGAGGUGAAAUUCGUAGAUAUUGGGAAGAACACCGGUGGCGAAGGCGGCGACCUGGUCCUUAACUGACGCUGAGGCGCGAAAGCGUGGGGAGCAAACAGGAUUAGAUACCCUGGUAGUCCACGCUGUAAACGAUGUGCGCUGGAUGUUGGGUGGCUUAGCCAUUCAGUGUCGUAGCUAACGCGGUAAGCGCACCGCCUGGGGAGUACGGCCGCAAGGUUGAAACUCAAA
rnacentral:rRNA from 1 species